rnacentral:misc_RNA from 1 species
GUACCUUCAAGCUUUGCUUGGUGUUGGGCGUUUUUGUCUCUCCUUGUGGGAGACUCGCCUCAAAACGAUUGGCAGCCGGCCUACUGGUUUCGGAGCGCAGCACAUUUUCUUGCGCUUGCUAUCAGGAGAAAAGGACGGCAAUCCAUCAAGACCUCUCCAUUGUUAACCU